UACAGAGGUCUCAAGCGUUGUUCGGAUUCAUUGGGCGUAAAGGGUGCGUAGGUGGCGCGCUAAGUCGGGUGUGAAAUUUCGGAGCUUAACUCCGAAACUGCAUUCGAUACUGGCGUGCUUGAGGACUGGAGAGGAGACUGGAAUUCAUGGUGUAGCAGUGAAAUGCGCAGAUAUCAGGAGGAACACCGGUGGCGAAGGCGGGUCUCUGGGCCGAUACUGACGCUGAGGAGCGAAAGCGUGGGGAGCGAACAGG
rnacentral:rRNA from 1 species